AUUGAACGCUGGCGGCAUGCCUUACACAUGCAAGUCGAACGGUAACGGGCCUUCGGGUGCCGACGAGUGGCGAGCGGGUGAGUAAUGUAUCGGAGCGUACCUUUCAGUGGGGGAUAACGUAGCGAAAGUUACGCUAAUACCGCAUAUUCUGUGAGCAGGAAAGCAGGGGAUCGCAAGACCUUGCGCUGAUUGAGCGGCCGAUAUCAGAUUAGCUAGUUGGUGAGGUAAAGGCUCACCAAGGCGACGAUCUGUAGCGGGUCUGAGAGGAUGAUCAGCCACAUUGGAACUGAGACACGGUCCAGACUCCUACGGGAGGCAGCAGUGGGGAAUUUUGGACAAUGGGGGCAACCCUGAUCCAGCCAUGCCGCGUGAGUGAAGAAGGCCUUCGGGUUGUAAAGCUCUUUCGGCCGGGAAGAAAGCUUAUCAGCUAAUACCUGGUGCGGAUGACGGUACCGGCAUAAGAAGCACCGGCUAACUACGUGCCAGCCGCCGCCGUAAGAC
rnacentral:rRNA from 1 species